AAUUAUUAUUAAUUGAGUUUUUGCUAACUCAAUUCUCUUGUAUCUUGCAGCAUUGGACAAAAUUCAUCUUAUUCAUUCUAUGUCUAUAAAGGAUCAGAAGAUUCUGAUAAACUGUGGCAGAGGCCAAUUCGAAUCUUCAACACCUAGCAUGUUUUUCCUCAAUGUAUCUUCAUUUAAAAUGAGGUGCUCCUGGCCGGACAAGAGGACUAAUUAUCUCUGCAAUCAACUCAUCGACAAAUAAUAUUAAUGGGUUCAAACAACUUUAACAAUCCAUACAUCAGGCAAUUGGAGAAAGAUGUCUGCACUAUCACUGACAUGUUAUUGAUUUUGUACUACGACAUAAGAGAUGAAACAGAGUAGUGUUUGAACACCAAGAGAGCUAGCAUGUUAAGUUGUAGUUGAGACAUGGUUAUGGUUCAUUCGUUGCUAUUAGAUAAAUCAUUAUGUUCUGUGAUCUAAGUGAAAUGAGAUUGCAAAAAAUUGUUUCAUGGGUGGUGAUGCCUACAUUUAUAGUAUCAUUGCUUUUAGCCUG